GCGGAUAUGGCGGAAUUGGUAGACGCGCUGGUCUUAGGAACCAGUGUCAACGACGUGGAGGUUCGAGUCCUCUUAUCCGCACCA
rnacentral:tRNA from 1 species